AUGAACGCUGGCGGCGUGCCUAAUACAUGCAAGUCGAGCGAACAGAUGAGGAGCUUGCUCCUCUGACGUUAGCGGCGGACGGGUGAGUAACACGUGGAUAACCUACCUAUAAGACUGGGAUAACUUCGGGAAACCGGAGCUAAUACCGGAUAAUAUAUUGAACCGCAUGGUUCAAUAGUGAAAGACGGUUUUGCUGUCACUUAUAGAUGGAUCCGCGCCGCAUUAGCUAGUUGGUAAGGUAACGGCUUACCAGGGCAACGAUGCGUAGCCGACCUGAGAGGGUGAUCGGCCACACUGGAACUGAGACACGGUCCAGACUCCUACGGGAGGCAGCAGUAGGGAAUCUUCCGCAAGGGGCGAAAGCCUGACGGAGCAACGCCGCGUGAGUGAUGAAGGGCUUCGGAUCGUAAAACUCUGUUAUUAGGGAAGAACAAAUGUGUAAGUAACUAUGCACGUCUUGACGGUACCUAAGCAGAAAGCCACGGCUAACUACGU
rnacentral:rRNA from 1 species